rnacentral:rRNA from 1 species
CCUACGGGUGGCCGCAGUGAGGAAUAUUGGUCAAUGGACUAGAGUCUGAACCAGCCAAGUAUCGUGAAGGAUGACUGCCCUAUGAGUUGUAAACUUCUUUUAUCACGGAAUAAACAGAUGCACGUUGGCCUUUUUGCGUGUACUUGAUGAAUAAGGAUAGGUUAACACCGUGCAAGCAGCAGCGGUAACACGGAGGAUCCGAGAGUUAUCCGGAUUUAGUGGGUGUAAAGAGAGCGUAGAUGGGUUGUUAAUGCAGUUGAGAAAGUUUUCGGCUCAACCGUAAAAUUGCAAUUGAUACUGGCAGGCUUGAGUACAGUUGAGGUAGGCGGAAUUCGUGGUGGAGCGGUGAAAGGCUUAGAUAUCACGAAGAACCACGAUGGCGAAGGCAGCUUACUAAACUGUGACUGACAUUGAUGCUCGAAAGUGUGGGUAUCAAACAGGAUUAGAUACCCUUGUAGUC